UACAGGGGGGGCAAGCGUUGUUCGGAAUUACUGGGCGUAAAGGGCUCGUAGGCGGCCGGCUAAGUCCGACGUGAAAUCCCCAGGCUUAACCUGGGAACUGCGUCGGAUACUGGCGGGCUUGAAUCCGGGAGAGGGAUGCGGAAUUCCAGGUGUAGCGGUGAAAUGCGUAGAUAUCUGGAGGAACACCGGUGGCGAAGGCGGCAUCCUGGACCGGCAUUGACGCUGAGGCGCGAAAGCCAGGGGAGCAAACGGG
rnacentral:rRNA from 1 species